AACGAACGCUGGCGGCAGGCUUAACACAUGCAAGUCGAACGGGUGUAGCAAUAUAUCAGUGGCAGACGGGUGAGUAACACGUGGGAACCUUCCUAGGGGUACGGAACAACUCAGGGAAACUUGAGCUAAUACCGUAUACGUCCGUGAGGAGAGAGAUUUAUCGCCCUUAGACGGGCCCGCGUCGGAUUAGCUAGUUGGUGGGGUAACGGCCUACCAAGGCGACGAUCCGUAGCUGAUCUUAGAGGAUGAUCAGCCACACUGGGACUGAGACACGGCCCAGACUCCUACGGGAGGCAGCAGUGGGGAAUCUUGGACAAUGGGCGCAAGCCUGAUCCAGCCAUGCCGCGUGAGUGAAGAAGGUCUUCGGAUUGUAAAGCUCUUUUGCCAGGGACGAUAAUGACGGUACCUGGAGAAUAAGCCCCGGCAAACUUCGUGCCAGCCGCCGCGGUAA
rnacentral:rRNA from 1 species